UGCUGUUCUGAAUCAGUCAUAACAUGAAAGGGAAAUCAAAGCCACUUUAAGACAAAGCAUGUGACAUUAUAGGGCUGGCUGGAGAACAAGAAUUCUGUUUCAUGAAAAAUAUCAAAUAUCAACAUUUGGUUUCAUCCCACAUUAGAAUGAAAAUGGGACCUUUCAAAAAUGUUUGUGGAAAAAACAUGUGAGAGAAACCCACAGGAGUCAGCAGUCUUCUGAUUAGGCCACUCACCUGGUGAGAGACCCAGCUGCCAGUCCCUCCUCUAAUUCAGUGCAAGAACUGGACCCUCUGUGUACCAUAUCCCAGUGUUGGACCAAGGAAGAUAUGAAUAAAUAACUGCACUGAUUUCCAUUUGUUCGAUCAGCUCUCUGAUGCUCUGGUUGAUCAUCCCAGUCUGAGGAAGAGCUACACUGGUUGAUUAUUGCAGGAAUGAAAGGCACUCUGACCUUGUCGACCGAACGCCUUGCUGCUUUCAAUGUUGCCCAUUAUGCUGAAG